AUCCCUCAUUGCCCCUAGCUGUCUUAUUUUAAUUCUCACAAAGCAGAUUGAGGAUUCUGAUCCUCCUGGUGACCCAAAUGCUGAGCAGAGCUACUGCUGAGGACAUGCAUUCCAGCUGUGCCCAGGGCCUGACUGUGUGGGCUAAAGGUAUGGAAGGCAAGAGGAAAAUGAUUCCCCCCUCCCCACCACCUGAAGAAGCUAAUUGUGAGGAGAACAGAGCCACCAUUGCUCCUAGGAGCCAAGACCCAGCC
rnacentral:lncRNA from 1 species